AUGCAAGUCGAGGGGUAUUGGUUUUCGGACCAAGAGACCGGCGCACGGGUGCGUAACGCGUAUGCAAUCUACCUUUUGCAGAGGGAUAGCCCAGAGAAAUUUGGAUUAAUACCUCAUAGUAUAGCAGUUUCGCAUGAAGCCACUAUUAAAGUCACAACGGCAAAAGAUGAGCAUGCGUCCCAUUAGCUAGUUGGUAAGGUAACGGCUUACCAAGGCUACGAUGGGUAGGGGUCCUGAGAGGGAGAUCCCCACACUGGUACUGAGACACGGACCAGACUCCUACGGGAGGCAGCAGUGAGGAAUAUUGGACAAUGGGCGCAAGCCUGAUCCAGCCAUGCCGCGUGCAGGAUGACGGUCCUAUGGAUUGUAAACUGCUUUUGUACAGGAAGAAACACUCCCUCGUGAGGGAGCUUGACGGUACUGUAAGAAUAAGGAUCGGCUAACUCCGUGCCAGCAGCCGCGGUAAUACGGAGGAUCCAAGCGUUAUCCGGAAUCAUUGGGUUUAAAGGGUCCGUAGGCGGUUUAGUAAGUCAGUGGUGAAAGCCCAUCGCUCAACGGUGGAACGGCCAUUGAUACUGCUAGACUUGAAUUAUUAGGAAGUAACUAGAAUAUGUAGUGUAGCGGUGAAAUGCUUAGAGAUUACAUGGAAUACCAAUUGCGAAGGCAGGUUACUACUAAUGGAUUGACGCUGAUGGACGAAAGCGUGGGUAGCGAACAGGAUUAGAUACCCUGGUAGUCCACGCCGUAAACGAUGGAUACUAGCUGUUGGGAGCAAUCUCAGUGGCUAAGCGAAAGUGAUAAGUAUCCCACCUGGGGAGUACGUUCGCAAGAAUGAAACUCAAAGGAAUUGACGGGGGCCCGCACAAGCGGUGGAGCAUGUGGUUUAUUCGAUGAUACGCGAGGAACCUUACCAGGCUAAAUGUAGAUUGACCGGUUUGGAACAGAC
rnacentral:rRNA from 1 species